rnacentral:rRNA from 1 species
GACGAACGCUGGCGGCGCGCCUAACACAUGCAAGUCGAACGGAGUUCGGAAGAGCUUGCUCUUCUGAACUUAGUGGCGAACGGGUGAGUAACGCGUGAGGAACCUGCCUCAAAGAGGGGGACAACAGUUGGAAACGACUGCUAAUACCGCAUAAGCCCACAGAUCCGCAUGGAUCAGAGGGAAAAGGAGCAAUCCGCUUUGAGAUGGCCUCGCGUCCGAUUAGCUAGUUGGUGAGGUAACGGCCCACCAAGGCGACGAUCGGUAGCCGGACUGAGAGGUUGAACGGCCACAUUGGGACUGAGACACGGCCCAGACUCCUACGGGAGGCAGCAGUGGGGAAUAUUGCACAAUGGGGGAAACCCUGAUGCAGCGACGCCGCGUGGAGGAAGAAGGUCUUCGGAUUGUAAACUCCUGUUGUUGGGGAAAAUCGAGAUGGUACCCAACAAGGAAGUGACGGCUAACUACGUGCCAGCAGCCGCGGUAAAACGUAGGUCACAAGCGUUGUCCGGAAUUACUGGGUGUAAAGGGAGCGCAGGCGGGUAUGCAAGUUGGAAGUGAAAUACAUGGGCUCAACCCAUGAACUGCUUUCAAAACUGCAUAUCUUGAGUAGUGCAGAGGUAGGCGGAAUUCCCGGUGUAGCGGUGGAAUGCGUAGAUAUCGGGAGGAACACCAGUGGCGAAGGCGGCCUACUGGGCACCAACUGACGCUGAGGCUCGAAAGUGUGGGUAGCAAACAGGAUUAGAUACCCUGGUAGUC